UUAAACUGGUUUUGUUCAACUGGUUUCGGAUGUUAAACUGGUUUCUGAUGUUAAACUGGUUUUGUUAAACUGGUUCCUGUUGAACAGGUUUUGGAUGUUAAACUGGUUUCUGAUGUUAAACUGGUUUAGUUAAACUGGUUUUGUUAAACUGGUUUGUGAUGUUAAACUGGUUUAGUUAAACUGGUUUCUGAUGUUAAACUGGUUUUGUUAAACUGGUUCCUGUUAAACAGGUUUCUGAUGUUAAACUGGUUUUGUUAAACUGGUUCCUGUUGAACAGGUUUCUGAUGUUAAACUGGUUUAGUUAAACCGG